ACUCCUACGGGAGGCAGCAGUAGGGAAUUUUCCACAAUGGGCGAAAGCCUGAUGGAGCAACGCCGCGCGCAGGAUGAAUGCCUUAGGGUUGUAAACUGCUUUUAUAAGUGACGAAUAUGACGGUAACUUAUGAAUAAGGAUCGGCUAACUCCGUGCCAGCAGCCGCGGUAAU
rnacentral:rRNA from 1 species